rnacentral:rRNA from 1 species
AGCAGUCGCCGCGGGAAUACAGAGGGUGCAAGCGUUAAUCGUAGUUACUGGGCGUAAAGGGCGCGUAGGCGGUUAUAUAAGUGAGAUGUGAAAUCCCUGGGCUUAACCUAGGAACUGCAUCUUAUACUGUAUGGCUAGAGUAUUGUAGAGGGUAGUGGAAUUUCCGGUGUAGCGGUGAAAUGCGUAGAUAUCGGAAGGAACACCAGUGGCGAAGGCGGCUACCUGGACUGACACUGACACUGAGGCGCGAAAGCGUGGGGAGCAAACAGGAUUAGAUACCCCUGUAGUCCCUGUCUCUUAUAC